AACGAACGCUGGCGGCAUGCCUAACACAUGCAAGUCGAACGAGACCUUCGGGUCUAGUGGCGCACGGGUGCGUAACGCGUGGGAACCUGCCCUUAGGUUCGGAAUAACUCCCCGAAAGGGGUGCUAAUACCGGAUAAUGUCUUCGGACCAAAGAUUUAUCGCCUUUGGAUGGGCCCGCGUUGGAUUAGCUAGUUGGUAGGGUAAAAGCCUACCAAGGCGACGAUCCAUAGCUGGUCUGAGAGGAUGAUACGCCACACUGGGACUGAGACACGGCCCAGACUCCUACGGGAAGGAGCAGUGGGGAAUAUUGGACAAUGGGCGAAAGCCUGAUCCAGCAAUGCCGCGUGAGUGAUGCAGGCCUUAGGGUUGUAAAGCUCUUUUACCCGGGAUGAUAAUGACAGUACCGGGAGAAUAAGCUCCGGCUAACUCCGUG
rnacentral:rRNA from 1 species